rnacentral:rRNA from 1 species
GACGAACGCUGGCGGCGUGCUUAACGCAUGCAAGUCGAACGAUGAAGCUGGAGCUUGCUCCGGUGGAUUAGUGGCGAACGGGUGAGUAACACGUGAGCAAACUGCCCUUGACUCUGGGAUAACUGCGGGAAACUGUAGCUAAUACCGGAUACUUUCACUGGAAGGCAUCUUCUGGUGAAGAAAGAAUUUCGGUCAAGGAUGAGCUCGCGGCCUAUCAGCUUGUUGGUGAGGUAACGGCUCACCAAGGCGACGACGGGUAGCCGGCCUGAGAGGGUGACCGGCCACACUGGGACUGAGAUACGGCCCAGACUCCUACGGGAGGCAGCAGUGGGGAAUAUUGCACAAUGGGCGCAAGCCUGAUGCAGCAACGCCGCGUGAGGGAUGAAGGCCUUCGGGUUGUAAACCUCUUUUAGCAGGGAAGAAGCGAAAGUGACGGUACCUGCAGAAAAAGCACCGGCUAACUACGUGCCAGCCGCCGCCGGAC